GGGCUUUGGCACUGAUCUACUCCCACCCAUGUGAACUUACCAUUGUUGCCUCGGCAGAAGCUACCUGGUUACCUUACCUUGGAACGGCCUACCCUGUAGCGCCUUACCCUGGAACGGCCUACCCUGUAACGGCUGCCGGUGGACUACCAAACUCUUGUUAUUUUAUUGUAAUCUGAGCGUCUUAUUUUAAUAAGUCAAAACUUUCAACAACGGAUCUCUUGGUUCUGGCAUCGAUGAAGAACGCAGCGAAAUGCGAUAAGUAAUGUGAAUUGCAGAAUUCAGUGAAUCAUCGAAUCUUUGAACGCACAUUGCGCCCAUUAGUAUUCUAGUGGGCAUGCCUGUUCGAGCGUCAUUUCAACCCUUAAGCCUAGCUUAGUGUUGGGAGCCUACUGCUUUUGCUAGCGGUAGCUCCUGAAAUACAACGGCGGAUCUGCGAUAUCCUCUGAGCGUAGUAAUUUUUAUCUCGCUUUUGACUGGAGUUGCAGCGUCUUUAGCCGCUAAACCCCCCAAUUUUUAAUGGUUGACCUCGGAUCAGGUAGGAAUACCCGCUGAACUUAAGCAUAUCAUAACCGGAAGGAAAAACCUUAUGGGAGUUUUCCAAACUCCAACCAUGGGAAACUUACAUUGGUUGCCUGGCGUAAGCUACUGGUUUACUUUACUUGGAACGGCUACCUGUAGCGCUUACCUGGAACGGCUACCUGUAACGGCUGCGGUGGACUACAAACUCUUGUUAUUUUAUUGUAAUCUGAGCGUCUUUAUUUUUAAUAAGUCAAAACUUUUCACAGCGCAUCUCUGUUUCUGGCCUCAUAAUAACGACAAAAUCAUAAUUAAUGUGAAUUGCAAAAUUCAUGAAUCAUGCAAUCUUGCAGCACUGUACACUAUCUCGGGGGGCAGUGCUGUUGCGACAUCUCUCUAAAGCCUAGCUCUAGAUGGUUGGGGGAGCUCUACUGCUUUUGGUCUGGCGGUUUACUCUAAAAUACAGAGGAGCGAAUCUGCAAUAUCUCUCGAGCCGAUGUUAAGUUUUAUUGUCGUCUUUUUUGAUACUGAGAGUGGGGCGGUCUUUGAGCCUACAACAUUUUUUAGGGAUGAGAUGGAACCGGGAGGAAUGCCGCGUCUUACACUAAAGACUGUAGUUCCGCAGAGAAGAGUU
rnacentral:rRNA from 1 species